rnacentral:rRNA from 1 species
CACAAGGGAGCUUGCUCCCUGGGUGACGAGCGGCGGACGGGUGAGUAAUGUCUGGGAAACUGCCUGAUGGAGGGGGAUAACUACUGGAAACGGUACCUAAUACCGCAUAACGUCGCAAGACCAAAGAGGGGGACCUUCGGGCCUCUUGCCAUCAGAUGUGCCCAGAUGGGAUUAUCUAUUAGGUGGGGUAAUGGCUCACCUAGGCGACCAUCCCUAGCUGGUCUGAGAGGAUGACCAGCCGCCCUGGAACUGAUACCCGGUCCACACUCCUACGGGAGGCAGCAGUGGGGAAUAUUGCACAAUGGGCGCAAGCCUGAUGCAGCCAUGCCGCGUGUGGGAAGAAGGCCUUCGGGUUGUAAAGCACUUUCAGCGAGGAGGAAGGUGGUGAACUUAAUACGUUCAUCAAUUGACGUUACUCGCAAAAGAAGCACCGGCUAACUCCGUGCCAGCAGCCGCGGUAAUACGGAGGGUGCAAGCGUUAAUCGGAAUUACUGGGCGUAAAGCGCACGCAGGCGGUUUGUUAAGUCAGAUGUGAAAUCCCCGGGCUCAACCUGGGAACUGCAUUUGAAACUGGAAAGCUAGAGUCUCGUAGAGGGGGGUAGAAUUCCGGGUGUAGCGGUGAAAUGCGUAUAGAUCUGGAGGAGUACUGGUGGCGAAUGCGGCCCCCUGUACUAACACUGACGCUCAAGUGCAAAAGCGUGCGGAGCACACGGGAUUACAUACCCUGGUAGUCCACGCUGUAAACGAUGUCNAUUUGAAGGUUGUGCCCUUGAGGCGUGCCUUCCGGAGCUAACGCGUUAAAUCGACCGCCUGGGGAGUACCGCCGCUAGGUUAAAACUAAAUGAAUUGACGGGGGCACGCACAAUCGGUGCAGCAUGUGGUUUAAUUCGAUGCAUCGCGAUAACCUUCCCUACUCUC